CGCUGGCGGCGUGCCUAAUACAUGCAAGUCGAGCGGACAGAAGGGAGCUUGCUCCCGGACGUUAGCGGCGGACGGGUGAGUAACACGUGGGCAACCUGCCCCUUAGACUGGGAUAACUCCGGGAAACCGGAGCUAAUACCGGAUAAUCCCUUUCUCCACCUGGAGAGAGGGUGAAAGAUGGCUUCGGCUAUCACUAAGGGAUGGGCCCGCGGCGCAUUAGCUAGUUGGUAAGGUAACGGCUUACCAAGGCAACGAUGCGUAGCCGACCUGAGAGGGUGAUCGGCCACACUGGGACUGAGACA
rnacentral:rRNA from 1 species